GCCUGGGGCGAUAGCUCUUUGAACUUACUAUUUCUCAAUGGAUCAGUGAAGUUAAGUAAGAUUGGAUUUGGUUGGUAUCUCGAUGGGUGACCAUCUGAGCAAUCUUGUGCUUCUGGCU
rnacentral:rRNA from 1 species